rnacentral:rRNA from 1 species
GAUGAACGCUGGCGGCGUGCCUAAUACAUGCAAGUCGAGCGAACAGACGAGGAGCUUGCUCCUCUGACGUUAGCGGCGGACGGGUGAGUAACACGUGUAUAACCUACCUAUAAGACUGGGAUAACUUCGGGAAACCGGAGCUAAUACCGGAUAAUAUAUUGAACCGCAUGGUUCAAUAGUGAAAGACGGUUUUGCUGUCACUUAUAGAUGGAUCCGCGCCGCAUUAGCUAGUUGGUAAGGUAACGGCUUACCAAGGCAACGAUGCGUAGCCGACCUGAGGGGCGGGUAGGCCACAUUGGAGCUGAGACGGGGACCAGGGUCCUAAGAGAGGCAGCAGUAGGGAACGUUAGGCAGCGGGCGAAAGCAUGACGGAGCAGCGCGGAGUGAGUGAUGGCGGCGUCCGGAUCGUAAAGACGUGUUAUGAGGGAAGAACCAAUGUGGCAGGAACUAAGGCGGUAUUGACGGUAACGGGUAAGAAAGCACCGGCUAACUACGUG